rnacentral:rRNA from 2 species
GAUAAACGCUGGCGGCGUACAUAAGACAUGCAAGUCGAACGAACUUAACCUUAAGUUUACUUUUGGAGCGGUUAGUGGCGGACUGGUGAGUAACGCGUGAGUAAUCUGCCUAUCAGAGGGGAAUAACAGUGAGAAAUCAUUGCUAAUACCGCAUAUGCUGUGAAUAUCGCAUGAUAUAAACAGAAAAGGAGUAAUCCACUGAUAGAUGAGCUUGCGUCUGAUUAGCUAGUUGGUGUGGUAAGAGCAUACCAAGGCGAUGAUCAGUAGCCGGACUGAGAGGUUGAACGGCCACAUUGGGACUGAGAUACGGCCCAAACUCCUACGGGAGGCAGCAGUCGGGAAUAUUGCGCAAUGGAGGAAACUCUGACGCAGUGACGCCGCGUGUAGGAAGAAGGUCUUAGGAUUGUAAACUACUUUAGACAGGGAAGAAAUGACAGUACCUGUAGAAUAAGUUCCGGCUAACUACGUGCCAGCCGCCGCCGUAAC